AUACUUACCUUGACGGGGUCUAUGGGUGAUCAAGAAGGCUCAUGGCCUAGGUUAACGGCUUCCAUUGCACUUUGGAAGAGCGUUGGCCUACCAUCUCCUUAAAUGGGAGAGUGAACGUCAUAAUUUGUGGCAGAGGGGGUAUGCGUUCGCGCGGCCCCUAC